rnacentral:rRNA from 1 species
CCUACGGGAGGCAGCAGUGGGGAAUAUUGCACAAUGGGCGAAACCCUGAUGCAGCGACGCCGCGUGAGUGAAGAAGUUCUUCGUUAUGUAAAGCUCUAUCAGCAGGGAAGAAAAUGACGGUACCUGAUUAAGAAUCCCCGGCUAACUACGUGCCAGCAGCCACCGUAAUACGUAGGGGGCAAGCGUUAUCCGGAUUUACUGGGGGUAAAGGGAGCGUAGACGGUAGUGCAUGUCUGGAGUGAAAGGCGGGGGCUCAAACCCCGGACUGCUCUGGAAACUGGACGGCUGGAGUGCAGGAGAGGUAAGUGGAAUUCCUGGUGUAGCGGUGAAAUGCGUAGAUAUUAGGAGGAACACCAGUGGCGAAGGCGGCUUACUGGACUGUAACUGACGUUGAGGCUCGAAAGCGUGGGUAGCAAACAGGAUUAGAUACCCUAGUAGUC